GUGCGCUGUUUGGCACCUUGACAUCGGGGAUUUUUUAUAGAAAUAUAAAAUUAGAAGUAGGCUAAUUGCUGAAACCUUAUUAAAUAAUAGCAAAUCAGCAGGGAAGUUAUAAUAUAACACCUUCAACGACCAAACGCCUAUAUCCAGAAUAAUAUUAAUUACUCUAUAAAUACUGGAUAAAGAUAUGGUCUAAACUUUAAGGAAACUUAAAG
rnacentral:ncRNA from 1 species